rnacentral:rRNA from 1 species
GAUGAACGCUGGCGGCGUGCCUAAUACAUGCAAGUCGAGCGAACAGACGAGGAGCUUGCUCCUCUGACGUUAGCGGCGGACGGGUGAGUAACACGUGGAUAACCUACCUAUAAGACUGGGAUAACUUCGGGAAACCGGAGCUAAUACCGGAUAACAUGUUGAACCGCAUGGUUCAACAGUGAAAGACGGUCUUGCUGUCACUUAUAGAUGGAUCCGCGCCGCAUUAGCUAGUUGGUAAGGUAACGGCUUACCAAGGCAACGAUGCGUAGCCGACCUGAGAGGGUGAUCGGCCACACUGGAACUGAGACACGGUCCAGACUCCUACGGGAGGCAGCAGUAGGGAAUCUUCCGCAGUGGGCGAAAGCCUGACGGAGCAACGCCGCGUGAGUGAAGAAGGUCUUCGGAUCGUAAAACUCUGUUAUUAGGGAAGAACAAAUGUGUAAGUAACUAUGCACGUCUUGACGGUACCUAAUCAGAAAGCCACGGCUAACUACGU